GGGUUGUGAGGUUAAGCGACUAAGCGUACACGGUGGAUGCCCUGGCAGUCAGAGGCGAUGAAGGACGUGCUAAUCUGCGAUAAGCGUCGGUAAGGUGAUAUGAACCGUUAUAACCGGCGAUUUCCGAAUGGGGAAACCCAGUGUGUUUCGACACACUAUCAUUAACUGAAUCCAUAGGUUAAUGAGGCGAACCGGGGGAACUGAAACAUCUAAGUACCCCGAGGAAAAGAAAUCAACCGAGAUUCCCCCAGUAGCGGCGAGCGAACGGGGAGGAGCCCAGAGCCUGAAUCAGUGUGUGUGUUAGUGGAAGCGUCUGGAAAGGCGCGCGAUACAGGGUGACAGCCCCGUACACAAAAAUGCACAUACUGUGAGCUCGAUGAGUAGGGCGGGACACGUGGUAUCCUGUCUGAAUAUGGGGGGACCAUCCUCCAAGGCUAAAUACUCCUGACUGACCGAUAGUGAACCAGUACCGUGAGGGAAAGGCGAAAAGAACCCCGGCGAGGGGAGUGAAAAAGAACCUGAAACCGUGUACGUACAAGCAGUGGGAGCCUCUUUUAUGGGGUGACUGCGUACCUUUUGUAUAAUGGGUCAGCGACUUAUAUUCUGUAGCAAGGUUAACCGAAUAGGGGAGCCGAAGGGAAACCGAGUCUUAACCGGGCGUUAAGUUGCAGGGUAUAGACCCGAAACCCGGUGAUCUAGCCAUGGGCAGGUUGAAGGUUGGGUAACACUAACUGGAGGACCGAACCGACUAAUGUUGAAAAAUUAGCGGAUGACUUGUGGCUGGGGGUGAAAGGCCAAUCAAACCGGGAGAUAGCUGGUUCUCCCCGAAAGCUAUUUAGGUAGCGCCUCGUGAAUUCAUCUCCGGGGGUAGAGCACUGUUUCGGCAAGGGGGUCAUCCCGACUUACCAACCCGAUGCAAACUGCGAAUACCGGAGAAUGUUAUCACGGGAGACACACGGCGGGUGCUAACGUCCGUCGUGAAGAGGGAAACAACCCAGACCGCCAGCUAAGGUCCCAAAGUCAUGGUUAAGUGGGAAACGAUGUGGGAAGGCCCAGACAGCCAGGAUGUUGGCUUAGAAGCAGCCAUCAUUAAAGAAAGCGUAAUAGCUCACUGGUCGAGUCGGCCUGCGCGGAAGAUGUAACGGGGCUAAACCAUGCACCGAAGCUGCGGCAGCGACACUGUGUGUUGUUGGGUAGGGGAGCGUUCUGUAAGCCUGUGAAGGUGUACUGUGAGGUAUGCUGGAGGUAUCAGAAGUGCGAAUGCUGACAUAAGUAACGAUAAAGCGGGUGAAAAGCCCGCUCGCCGGAAGACCAAGGGUUCCUGUCCAACGUUAAUCGGGGCAGGGUGAGUCGACCCCUAAGGCGAGGCCGAAAGGCGUAGUCGAUGGGAAACAGGUUAAUAUUCCUGUACUUGGUGUUACUGCGAAGGGGGGACGGAGAAGGCUAUGUUGGCCGGGCGACGGUUGUCCCGGUUUAAGCGUGUAGGCUGGUUUUCCAGGCAAAUCCGGAAAAUCAAGGCUGAGGCGUGAUGACGAGGCACUACGGUGCUGAAGCAACAAAUGCCCUGCUUCCAGGAAAAGCCUCUAAGCAUCAGGUAACAUCAAAUCGUACCCCAAACCGACACAGGUGGUCAGGUAGAGAAUACCAAGGCGCUUGAGAGAACUCGGGUGAAGGAACUAGGCAAAAUGGUGCCGUAACUUCGGGAGAAGGCACGCUGAUAUGUAGGUGAAGUCCCUCGCGGAUGGAGCUGAAAUCAGUCGAAGAUACCAGCUGGCUGCAACUGUUUAUUAAAAACACAGCACUGUGCAAACACGAAAGUGGACGUAUACGGUGUGACGCCUGCCCGGUGCCGGAAGGUUAAUUGAUGGGGUCAGCGCAAGCGAAGCUCUUGAUCGAAGCCCCGGUAAACGGCGGCCGUAACUAUAACGGUCCUAAGGUAGCGAAAUUCCUUGUCGGGUAAGUUCCGACCUGCACGAAUGGCGUAAUGAUGGCCAGGCUGUCUCCACCCGAGACUCAGUGAAAUUGAACUCGCUGUGAAGAUGCAGUGUACCCGCGGCAAGACGGAAAGACCCCGUGAACCUUUACUAUAGCUUGACACUGAACAUUGAGCCUUGAUGUGUAGGAUAGGUGGGAGGCUUUGAAGUGUGGACGCCAGUCUGCAUGGAGCCGACCUUGAAAUACCACCCUUUAAUGUUUGAUGUUCUAACGUGGACCCGUGAUCCGGGUUGCGGACAGUGUCUGGUGGGUAGUUUGACUGGGGCGGUCUCCUCCUAAAGAGUAACGGAGGAGCACGAAGGUUGGCUAAUCCUGGUCGGACAUCAGGAGGUUAGUGCAAUGGCAUAAGCCAGCUUGACUGCGAGCGUGACGGCGCGAGCAGGUGCGAAAGCAGGUCAUAGUGAUCCGGUGGUUCUGAAUGGAAGGGCCAUCGCUCAACGGAUAAAAGGUACUCCGGGGAUAACAGGCUGAUACCGCCCAAGAGUUCAUAUCGACGGCGGUGUUUGGCACCUCGAUGUCGGCUCAUCACAUCCUGGGGCUGAAGUAGGUCCCAAGGGUAUGGCUGUUCGCCAUUUAAAGUGGUACGCGAGCUGGGUUUAGAACGUCGUGAGACAGUUCGGUCCCUAUCUGCCGUGGGCGCUGGAGAACUGAGGGGGGCUGCUCCUAGUACGAGAGGACCGGAGUGGACGCAUCACUGGUGUUCGGGUUGUCAUGCCAAUGGCACUGCCCGGUAGCUAAAUGCGGAAGAGAUAAGUGCUGAAAGCAUCUAAGCACGAAACUUGCCCCGAGAUGAGUUCUCCCUGACCCUUUAAGGGUCCUGAAGGAACGUUGAAGACGACGACGUUGAUAGGCCGGGUGUGUAAGCGCAGCGAUGCGUUGAGCUAACCGGUACUAAUGAACCGUGAGGCUUAACCUUACAACGCCGAAGGUGUUU
rnacentral:rRNA from 1 species